UAGGGAAUCUUCCGCAAUGGACGAAAGUCUGACGGAGCAACGCCGCGUGAGCGAAGAAGGCCUUCGGGUCGUAAAGCUCUGUUGUUAGGGAAGAACAAGUAUCGGAGUAACUGCCGGUACCUUGACGGUACCUAACCAGAAAGCCACGGCUAACUACGUGCCAGCAGCCGCGGUAAUACGUAGGUGGCAAGCGUUGUCCGGAAUUAUUGGGCGUAAAGCGCGCGCAGGCGGUCCUUUAAGUCUGAUGUGAAAGCCCACGGCUCAACCGUGGAGGGUCAUUGGAAACUGGGGGACUUGAGUGCAGAAGAGGAGAGUGGGAUUCCACGUGUAGCGGUGAAAUGCGUAGAGAUGUGGAGGAACACCAGUGGCGAAGGCGACUCUCUGGUCUGUAACUGACGCUGAGGCGCGAAAGCGUGGGGAGCAAACAGGAUUAGAUACCCUGGUAGUCCACGCCGUAAACGAUGAGUGCUAAGUGUUAGAGGGUUUCCGCCCUUUAGUGCUGCAG
rnacentral:rRNA from 1 species